ensembl:lncRNA
UUCAGUCUGAGAUGUGAGCGGCGCCGACCAGCAACCGGGGGCGGAGCCAUGUGGCCGUACAAAGUCCCAGGGCCCGGUCUGGACCUGAACCUGAACCAGAUCCUGGACCAGACUCUGGACAUGAACCGGAACAAGUCCAUGCUCCAAAACCUCAAUGCCAGACUAUCCUCCUACAUUCACCAGGUGGGGCGUCUGGAGUCGUCCAAUCAGGAGCUGGAGCAUCAGAUCGAGGUGGAGCUCCGGCAGAGGUCACCUGGAGACCUCAAACACCUGGACUCAAAGCUGAGGAUCGCCACCGACCUGCAGGACCAGAUCAGUGUGUGUAUUCGGGAGUGUGCGUUCCUGAAGCUGCAGAGUCUCGGAGCUGAACUCUCCAUGUUCGACCUCAAGUCCAGGUGUGAGGAAGUGGCGGCGGAGCGAGAGCAGCUGGGGGCGGAGAUUAGAGAUCUGCAGCUGGUGUGGGUGGAGAUGCAGGAGCGUCACCUGACCGACCUGAACCAGGAAGUGUUUCAGAAGGAGGCGGAGCUACAGGGGCUACAGACUCAACACCAAAAGGAUGUACAGGGUCUCCAGUUGCGACGCGCAGGGAUCUCGGUGCAGCUUAGGAGUCGAACCUCCAACCCUGACCUGGCUCUACAGCUGCAGGACAGGAGCUGGAGCGGCCUCACACUGCCCCCACUGGACUGGAGUCUGCAGGUGCCACAGGUGGAGGCGUGCGCUCCCCCUGAAGACUCUGAGCUGCUGGAGCUGAAGAACACGGCCUCUGGUCUCCAGCGUGAACUCGAUCUGCUACGACAAGAGACCCGCUCUCUGGAGUCUGCAGCAGUCGACCACAUGGGGGCGCUGGAGCAGCACCUCUCUGUCUCUCAGCUCAGAGCAUCGAGUCUCUGUGACGAGCUCGAGACGACGCUCGACGCCACAGAACAGCAAAACCAACGCAACCAGAACCUGCAGGGGCGGGUCAAAGCGUUGAGGGCAGAACUGCACCGCUACCAAGAGCUGCUGCGGGAGGCCAAUCAGGACGAAGAGCUGCUCAUCAGGACCAAUCAGAGCGGCGCGGGAGCCAUUCAGGGGGGACAGUUGAUCAUGAGGACCAAUCCGAGCAGAGACCAGCUACCAACAGCCAAUCAGAGGAGAGAACACAGAGUCCUCAGUCCUGGUCCAAUCAAAAGCCCAUCUUCUCCAUUAAAGUGGCCCACCCCCAUGACCCAAAUCCCUUCUCCCAAAAGUCAAAGGUCGGUCCAGGCCGGGCAGUCGGUCCAGAGAAAGAUCGGGUUUGAACCGGACCCGAGAGUGGCGGCGGCCAUUUUGUCUGAUUCAAAACACAACACAACACUGAAAACUGCAGCAAAAAACAGCCCAAACGAGAUUCAAAAUGUGAAUAUAAAUGUGAACGCUUCAGAGAGGGUUAGUUUUGGUUUGAACAAAGAAGAAACUAAACCAAACAAGUCCUCUGCCAAAUCUGCCACAGAAAUAAAACUUACAGAUGCAAAAACUCUUCAAAAUUUGAAUUUAAAAACUGCACAAGUCGAAACUGGAGUAAAACUCGACAAAAACGUUAAUGUAACCUCUGUUCACAAAAUGGAGUCUAAAAUGGAGAGAUCAGAUGGAGGACUGGCCCCAGUGAAAAGCAAAGAGGAUGCUAACGUUUCUAGCACAAAAACAAAAACAGAGGUGAGUCAAAAUAGGCUUCAGAAUACAAAUAUAAACGUGAACGCUUCAGAAGGAGUUGGUUUUGGAUUGAAAAAAGAAGUUAAAGAAGAGAAAAAAGAAGAAGCUAAACCAAACAUGUCCUCUGCCACAUCUGCCGCAGAAAUGAAAGUUAUAGAGUCAAAAACUCUUCAGAAUUUAAAUUUGAAAACUGCACAAGUCGAAACUGAAGCAAAACUUGCCAAAGACAUUAAUUUAACCUCUGUUGACAAAAUGGAGAGAUCAGAUGGAGGACUGGCCUCAAUGAAAAGCAAAGAAGAUGCUAAUGUGCUGGCUAACGUUUCUAGCACAAAAACAAAAACAGAGGUGAGUCAAAAUAAGCUUCAAAAUGCAAAUACAAAUGUGAACGCCUCAGAAAAAGUUAGUUUUGGUUUGGAAAAAGAAGUUAAAGGAGAAAAAAAAGAAGAAGCUAAACCAAACAUGUCCUCUGCCACAUCUGCAACGGAAAUGAAAGUUAUAGAGUCAAAAACUCUUCAAAAUUUAAAUUUGAAUUUAAAAAACGCACAAGUCGAAACUGGAGUAAAACUUGAUAAAGACGUUAAUGUAACCUCUGUUCACAAAAUGGAGUCUAAAAUGGAGGGAUCAGAUGGAGGACUGGCCCCAGUGAAAAGCAAAGAAGAUGCUAAUGUGCAGGCUAACGUUUCUCGCUCAAAAACAGAAACAGAAAUAAUUAGUCAAAAUAGAUUUCAAAAUGCAAAUAUAAACGUGAACGCUUCAGAAGGAGUUGGUUUUGGAUUGAAAAAAGAAGUUAAAGAAGAGAAAAAAGAAGAAGCUAAACCAAACAUGUCCUCUGCCAAAUCUGCAACGGAAAUUAAAGUUAUAGAGUCAAAAACUCUUCAGAAUUUAAAUUUGAAAACGGCACAAGUCGAAACUGGACCAAAACUCGGCAAAGACGUUAAUGUAACCUCUGUUCACAAAAUGGAGUCUAAAAUGGAGAGAUCAGAUGGAGGACUGCCCCCAGUGAAAAGCAAAGAAGAUGCUAACACUCAGGCUAACAUUUCUAGCGCUAAAACAGAGACAGCAGAAAUAUGUGGAAAAGUAGAAAUAAAGUCAGGGGUUUGUGCCCAAAAUGGCAGCAGCGUCAAACUCAAAGACAAAAUGGAGGAUGUAAAGACAGGAAUGAUUUUAAAUGCACAGAUUUUGAAAGGACAGAAUCUCAAAAUGGAGGAGAAAAUUCCCAGUGAAAACCAAGACAGUAUUUCAAUGACCACAGAAAUUCAGAAUUCCACAAAUGUUUCAAACUUUGGCGUGAAAAAUUUGGAAAUUUCAAAAUUAGAAGUUGUUGAUACCCAGGCAUCUCAAAGUGAGCAAAGUACGAGCAAAAUAUUGGCAAAAACAGACCAAACUUUGACACAAACAAAAAUGACCCAGCAAGAAGAAAGUAAAGACGUUGUCAGACCACAACUUCUAAAGAGUCUAAACUCUCAAAAACGCAUGUCAAAUUCUGAAGAAAACACUGAAAUUUUACAAAAAAGUGCUGUGGAAGGAAGGAAAGAAGAAUCGUCUCAGAGUUUGAUAAAUGUGGAAAAUCAAAUCCCAAAAAAAGAGGAACUUGAAAUUGAAAAUGAGCCAAAAAUGUCUCCAGAACACGCUGGUGACAACAUUGGAAAAUUACACACAGAGAGUAAUAUUAUUGUUGUGAAAAUUACAGAAGAAAGCCAACAAAGUCUCACAAAAUCCAAAGACACAUCGCUGGAACUGACCAAAGAUAUCACUGUGAAGAAUCAUUCUGGGGAAGAAUUUCAGAAUUUUGAAGUUGGAAAUUUGCUCGAAAGUUCUCCAAAGUCUGAGUCAGUCGACUCGGAAAAGAGACGCUCUGAAAGUAACAUUGUUAUUGUGAAAAUAAUCGAAGAAGUCCAGGACAGUCUGAGCAAAACCAAUGCAUACAAUGAGGAUGGAUUUGGUUUGGAAGACAACGUUUUCAUCACGGAAAGUCGGGACCAAAAUGCACCAAAAAACCAAGACACGGCUGUACAGAUAUUGGGAGAUUUGAAGGAUUCCUCGACUCACAAUCUUACCGCAAAACAAGACAAGGAAACUGGAGGAGACAUGGCCAAAAUUCAGAAUUUGGAAGUUGGAAUUGUCUUGGAAAAUUCUGCAAAACAAAUCAUUGGAAAUUUUGGAACUGUUGGAACAGAAAUGAACAUUGAACAUUCAAAAACAGCAGAACUCACAGAUAGCAAAAUGGACACCAAGAAACAAGAAGUAGUAAACACUGAUUUAACUUCAAAACUGUCCAAAGAAAUUGAAACAGAAAACCACGGCAUGACAGUGGAGUUACAGGGAGGACUGAUGGAUUCCUCUGCUAUGAAAAAUGAUCCAAACGUGACAGAUUUUAAGAUGGAAACUCGGAAUUUUGAAUUAGAAAAAGGCUCUGAAUUUUCCCUCAAAUCAAACUUGGUAAAUUUUGAAACAAUUUGUACUAGAAAUGUCAUUGUAGAGCCAAAAACUGCUACAGAUUCUGGUGUCAACUUCACUCAAAUGUGUGAAUCCGAGAAGCUGAAAAUAAAGGAUUCUAAAACUGAGGGAGCACCAGAGAAGUUAGGCACAAAAAUGGACCAAAUUUUGACCGGAAAUGUUUUCGAAAUUCAAGCUAAAAUGUCACAGGACGAACAGAUCAAAGACGUCACAGUUGAACUAAAAAACACUCAAAAAAUUCAAGUUUCAGAGAGACAAGAGACGGAAAUUUCACAGAAUCUGUUGCCACCGGAGCCGGAAAGAGCACUGCCCAAAAGUGAAACUGAAAAACCUAAAAUUCUGGCAAAGUUUACAAAUGAUGAAACCAAAAUAUCAACUAGUGUUGCCGAUUAUGAGAUGCUCUGUCCAAAUUUUCCAACCACAAAUCUUGAGUUUGAACAAAACCUAGAAUUCCCGCAGAAUCCUGAGAUUGAGGCGGAGUUUUUGAAGCUAAACGAAGACGCAUUCUGUCCUCAAGAUCUGGAACACUUUGUUGAAACUCAAAUGGACCUGAGUGUAGAUGCAGAUUUCGACGAGGACCUGACAGAAGCCAACGUGCGCGUGCGACCAGUGGAGCGCUUCGUCUUAAAGGAGAGCCCUUCGUUCAGCGACUCUUUCUCUGAUCUCGAGGAAAACGCCACGAUCCAUGAAAGUUUGGCAUCUUUUGGAGAAGACGGGAGAGGUGUUUCUAUUUGUGCGAGCGUCCCGGGAAGUCUGCAGAUUUACGGACCAGAACGAGUGAUUGCGGAGAAGGAGAGAGAAAGUGGGUUUGGAGGUUUGUAUCGAGCGAAAGCAACCGGAACGUGCAAAGAGAGAGAGAAUCUUGUUUUUAGCAAUGAAGGAAAAGUGAACGUGGAACAGGCCAAAGGAACGUGGGUGGAUGACUUUACCACCAAAACUGUGCGCGGAUAUAUUCAGGGAAGUUCGGAAAGAGAUUUGAUUAAAACACGGAGCAAAGAGGAGCGUGAAGGAGGGGGGAUAAUGGUUCAAAAUGUGUCCAAACUUGAAGGAAUUGCAGAUGGGAAUGCUGUGGAAAUUGGAGUUUGUGGAGCGUCUUCAGAGCGCCGCUUAUCGAUGGAAAAGGAACGUGAGAAGGACAGAAGUUUGACAGAUGUGAGGCGUAAAGAUGAAAGGAUGAGAGCUGAAGAAGAGAAGGGAGGAGAGAACGUGACUAAACGUGAAGGUAGUUUGGACAUUCCUCUGAGUCCCCCGGCAAGCGCCAAAGUGGGCAGCGAGUGGCGCGUUUAUGGCCGGAGCACUGGCAGGAUGAGCACCAGUCCACCCCAGAACCAAAACCUAAGUCCGACAAAGAUCCAGGGUUUAAGUCCGAUUGAAACCCAAAGUCCAAAAUCUCAGGGUUCAGAUCUGAGUCCGACCAAAAGCCAGUCCGGUUUGGUCUUGAGUCCAAGGGGUUCAGGGCGGAUCGACGGUCUUUACGGCGGGAAAAUGGCGAGCAGAGAGAGAGAUUUGUCUCCACGAGCAUUGAGUCCCGGACGCUUCGGAAAAGCGGACAGCGGAGAGUGGUUUGUUUAUGGGAACAGAGAAAGGAUCAGCCGCCGUGCCUCCGAAAGCGAUGAGCAGUUUGGGUCUCCAGGGCAUCUGAGUCCCAGCCCCUUGAGUCCCGCCAGACCCAUCAGUCCCUCAGACCUGGGUCGGUUUGGGAGGGCGAACAGCGGCGAGUGGAGAGUCUAUGGACAAAGCCAAGACCGAAUCAGCUGCAGCACAGAAAGAGGGAGAAUGCUGAGUCCCCCAGGCCACCCCAGGAGUCCAACCUCCCGCGCCCUGAGUCCCCUAGGCCGCCCCAUGAGUCCAACCUCCCGUGCCCUGAGUCCCCUAGGCCGCCCCAUGAGUCCCUCAGGCCGCCCCAUGAGUCCCUCAGGCCGCCCCAUGAGUCCCUCAGGCCGCCCCAUGAGUCCCUCAGGCCGCCCCAUGAGUCCCUCAGGCCGCCCCAUGAGUCCCUCAGGCCACCCCAUAAGGCCCACCUCCCGCACCAUGAGUCCCCUGGGCCGCCCCAUGAGUCCUUCAGGCCGCCCCAUGAGUCCCUCAGGCCACCCCAUGAGCCCCACCUCCCGCACCCUGAGUCCCCUAGGACGCUUCGGGGCCGGCAGUGCAGAGUUCUACGUUUACGGAAACAGAGAGCGAAUCAGCCAUGCAAAUCGAGAGAAUUCACAGUUGGGGUCACGGGGAUUGAGCCCCGGUCGCCCUCGGAGUCCAGAAUUUUUUGGUCGCUUCAGUCCCGAUGGGUUCAGUCCGAAUGGAUUCAGUCCCGAUGGAUUCAGUCCUGAUGGCUCUUACAUGUCGCCGCUGUCACCGCUGUCGCCCUACAGCAGGUUCAGCCCCAGAGCCUUGAGCCCGGGAGGUUCUGGUCUGAGGGACCGGUCUCUGAGUCCGGACUUGGGUCGGGGGGAUUGGCUCGUCUAUCGUAGUCUGAGCCCGAGGAGAGGAGAUGUGGAUGGCGGCCAUUUUGACCUGAGGGCGCGACACCUGAGUCCUCCGAGCACCGGGCGCCUCGGGAAGCCUGAUGGGAAAGACUGGCAUGUUUAUAAAACUCUGAGUGCAACAGACGAGAAGCAGAGGAAGAGAGCACUCAGUCCCCCCGAGGUCCAGAGGAAACUGUUCUUCAUCCGCUCCAGUGACAAGAGCAAAGGCGGCAUGGUCAGGAGGAGCGGAAGCCUGGAGGGUAGGGCAAAUACCACUCGCAUCAGCGGCACCGGGGGCAGGAGCCUCGUCAGCUCCAUCGGGAAGUUUAUGAGCUCAGAAUGGAGGCUCGGUCGCAGCAAGAUCAAAGGAGGCAAGGACGUAGGAAACAAGGAGCUAGGAGGGACCGGGGGGCGGGUCAUCACCAGCAGCGAUGGGCCAAUCAAAAGCUCUGGCAGCGGCACUGGCGCCAAGAAGGAACGAAUCAGUGUCUGCAAGAUGGCUGCCAUGUCCCUGUCCAAAGACAAAGCCAAGAAAAACACAGUGACCUCUCCCUCCAUCCAGCUCUGGUUAUCCACAAGUGACUCCACCGUGGGACCUGAGGACUCUAAACCCUGAUUGGUCCAUUCUGAGAGGCGAGGGCUGUGAUUGAUCCUUUCUCAGAGGCGAGGGCUGUGAUUGGUCGGUUUGAAGAGGCUGUGAUUAUAGUAUUUGGACACAGCCGAUGGAGCGUGACAGAACAACAUUUACAUAAAGUGGUUUGAGCCUGAAGCCAUUUUUGUUCUAAAGAUGAAAUUGAAGACAUGUUUUUCUUCAUUCAUCUCACCGCUGUGUUCAGUCUGAGUCUAGACCUGGUUUAGACCAGGUUUAGUCUUGGUUUAGACCUAGUUUAGUCCUGGUGUAUAACUGGUUUAGUCCUAGUUUAGUCCUGGUGUAGCCUUGGUUUAGUCCUGGUUUAGUCCUGGUUUAGUCCUGCUUUAGUUUAUUGAUUGGUCUUGAUUUAGUCUUGGUUUAGACCUGGUUUAGUCCUGGUUUAGUCCUGGUGUAGUCCUGGUGUAGACCUGGUUUAAUCUUGGUUUAGUCCUGGUUUAGUCCUGCUUUAGUUUUGAUUAGUCCUGGUGUAGACCUGGUUUAGUCUUGGUUUAGUCCUUGUAUAGACCUGGUUUAAUCAUGGUUUAGUCCUGGUUUAGUCCUGGUGUAGACCUGGUUUAAUCUUGGUUUAGUCCUGGUUUAGUCCUGCUUUAGUUUUGAUUAGUCCUGGUUUAGUCCUGGUGUAGACCUGGUUUAGUCUUGGUUUAGUCCUUGUAUAGACCUGGUUUAAUCAUGGUUUAGUCCUGGUUUAGUCCUGCUUUAGUUUUGAUUAGUCCUGGUUUAGUCCUGGUGUAGACUUGGUUUAGUCUUGAUUUAGUCCUUGUAUAGACCUGGUUUAAUCAUGGUUUAGUCCUGGUUUAGUCCUGGUGUAGACCUGGUUUAAUCUUGGUUUAGUCCUGGUUUAGUCCUGCUUUAGUUUUGAUUAGUCCUGGUUUAGUCCUGGUGUAGACCUGGUUUAGUCUUGGUUUAGUCCUUGUAUAGACCUGGUUUAAUCAUGGUUUAGUCCUGGUUUAGUCCUAGUUUAGUCCUGGUGUAGACCUGGUUUAAUCUUGGUUUAGUCCUGGUUUAGUCCUGCUUUAGUUUUGAUUAGUCCUGGUUUAGUCCUUGUAUAAACCUGAUUUAACUAGUCUUGGUUUAGUCCUGCUUUAGUUUUUGAUUAGUCCUGGUUUAGUCCUGGUGUAGACCUGGUUUAGGCCUGGUUUAGUCCUGGUUUAGUCCUGGUUUAGUCCUGGUUUAGUCCUUGUAUAGACCUGGUUUAGUCCUGGUUUAGUCCUGGCUUAGUCCUAGUUUGGUCCUAGUUUAGUCCUGGUUUAGAUCUGGUUUAGUCUUGGUUUAGUUAAACGAGUGGGACUUGUUGUUUUCAGUUUUACCACUAGAUGGAGUCGUUUCUUUGUAAUCAACAGAUUGUUCUGUGUUUAAGCUGCAGUUUGCGUUGUAACCACCAGAGGGAGGCACAUCUUUAACAUCUGAAUGUUUUAAAUCUGUUAAACUGUGUGUUUUUGGUUUUCGAGGUUUUUACAUCUGUUUUUGAUCAGAUCUGU